rnacentral:rRNA from 1 species
GACGAACGCUGGCGGCGUGCUUAACACAUGCAAGUCACGGGGGUCCCGCAAGGGAUAACCGGCGAACGGGUGCGUAACACGUGAACAACCUGCCCUCGUGUGGGGGAUAGCCAUGCUAACGCGUGGGUAAUACCGCAUACGGUCCUUUGGGGGAGUCCCUGGGGGAAGAAAGCUCCGGCGCACGGGGAGGGGUUCGCGGCCUAUCAGCUA